GAAAAGUUUCGUGUUAAUCAUAUAUAUGAAAGUUGGCUAACUCUCUCCAAAUGAUUGACACAUCAUCAUUUUAGCAUUUGCCAUGUGUCUAUUAAGUAAUUAAUGUAAGCUCUUCAACUUCUAAUUUAUAAGUUAAUGAUAUAUUUAUUAUUUAAUUU
rnacentral:sRNA from 1 species